rnacentral:rRNA from 1 species
CCGUAGUCAUAUGCUUGUUUAAAGAUUAAGCCAUGCAUGUCUAAGUAUAAGCAAAAAUACAGCAAAACUGCAAAUGGCUCAUUAAAACAGUUAUGGUUUACUUGAUAAUAGUUUUUACAUGGAUAACCGUGGUAAUUCUACAGCUAAUACAUGAGCAAAAUCUCAACUUUAUUAGAAGAGACGCAUUUAUUAGAUAAAAAGCCAAUGCAUGCUUUUACAGUAUGAAAAUUGGUGAUUUAUAAUAACUUAGCAAAUCGCAAAGUGAAAACAGGCGAUAAAUCAUUCAAGUUUCUGACCUAUCAGGUUUCGACGGUAUGGUAUUGGCUUACCGUGGCAGUGACGGUUAACGGGGGAUUAGGGUUCGAUUCCGGAGAGGGAGCCUGAGAAACGGCUACCACAUCUAAGGAAGGCAGCAGGCGCGCAAAUUACCCAAUUCUAACAGUUUGAGAGAGGUAGUAACAAGAAAUAACAAUACAAGGCAGUUAAAAUGCUUUGUAAUUGGAAUGAUAGAAAUUUAAACCCUUUUUAAAGUAUCAAUUGGAGGGCAAGUCUGGUGCCAGCAGCCGCGGUAAUUCCAGCUCCAAUAGCGUAUAUUAAAAUUGUUGCAGUUAAAAAGCUCGUAGUUGAAGUUCUGCUAAAAGUAACCGGUCUGCUUUAAAUAAAGGUGGUAUCUUGGUGUGUAUUUAGCAAUGAUGUCCUUUGAAGUGUUUUUUACUUUAUUGUAAUAAAGCAUAUUCAGGACUUUUACUUUGAGAAAAUUAGAGUGUUUCUAGCAGGCUGACGCUUUGAAUACUGCAGCAUGGAAUAAUAAGAUAGGAUUUUAGUUCUACAUUAUUGGUUUUAAGAGCUAAAUUAAUGAUGAUA